rnacentral:rRNA from 1 species
CCUACGGGAGGCAGCAGUGAGGAAUAUUGGUCAAUGGGCGCGAGCCUGAACCAGCCAAGUAGCGUGAAGGAGUACUGCCCUACGGGUUGUAAACUUCUUUUAUCAAGGAAUAAAGGUAGGCACGUGUCCCUGUUUGUAUGUACUUUAUGAAUAAGGAUCGGCUAACUCCGUGCCAGCAGCCGCGGUAAUACGGAGGAUCCGAGCGUUAUCCGGAUUUCUUGGGUUUAAAGGGAGUGGAGAGGGGUUGUUAAGUAAGUUGUGAAAGUUUGGGGCUCAACCGUAAAAGUGCAAUUGAUACUGCAGUCUUGAGUACAGUGGAGGUAGGCGGAAUGCGUGGGGUAGCGGUGAAAUGCUUAGAUAUCACGAAGAACUCCGAUUGCGAAGGCAGCCUACUAAACUGCCACUGACAUUGAUGCUCGAAAGUGUGGGUAUCAAACAGGAUUAGAUACCCGUGUAGUC